rnacentral:rRNA from 1 species
AUUGAACGCUGGCGGAAUGCUUUACACAUGCAAGUCGAACGGCAGCACGGGAGCUUGCUCCUGGUGGCGAGUGGCGAACGGGUGAGUAACAUAUCGGAACGUACCCAGUCGUGGGGGAUAACUAUCCGAAAGGAUAGCUAAUACCGCAUACGUCCUGAAGGAGAAAGCGGGGGAUCGCAAGACCUCGCGCGAUUGGAGCGGCCGAUAUCGGAUUAGCUAGUCGGUGGGGUAAAGGCUCACCAAGGCGACGAUCCGUAGCGGGUCUGAGAGGACGACCCGCCACACUGGAACUGAGACACGGUCCAGACUCCUACGGGAGGCAGCAGUGGGGAAUUUUGGACAAUGGGGGCAACCCUGAUCCAGCCAUUCCGCGUGGGUGAAGAAGGCCUUCGGGUUGUAAAGCUCUUUCAGCAGGAACGAAACGGUCGGCUUUAAUAAAAUCGGCUAAUGACGGUACCUGCAGAAGAAGCACCGGCUAACUACGUG